GAGAAAGAGGUGGAGAAAUACUAAAUAUAAAUUUCAGCUUCAGAAUCAAUGAAGCAGUGCUGACUAUAGUCCCACCUCUUCUAUUGUGUUUUUUUCAGUGAAACACUGACCAACUGCCACAUGAAGAAACAGUGAUAGAUUAAACUUAAUACCAGACAAGCGGGGAUCUGGUUAGGGCAAGGAGUAAACUGUAGCAGAAGCUCUUGGUGCCCCAUCCAUAUCUCUACAGCCCUUAUCAUUUAAGUGCAUAAUAAUUAGUAAUUACUUUGGAGGGCAGGUACAGAUAAAAAGGCAUAAUGAGGGCUUUUGGUGGGUUGAAAAUGUUCUCUUUUUAGAUCCAGGUAUUGGUUGCACAGGGGUGUUCAGUUUGUGAAAAUUUAAUAAACUUAUGUGCAUGUGUGUGUCUGUACAAAAUUAAGGAAAGCAGAAUGGAGUUAAAAUCAGAAAUAUUGUUCUAGAAGUUAUCAGGUUUAACCAGGUUUUACAAACAGCCAAUUUUGUUAUUUAAAUAAUCAAAAUAUUUCCUUUAACAUUUAUCAUGAUUUCAACUGAAAUACUUUAUUACAGCCAGGAAACUGAUUUCUAUUGUAUCAUUAUUUCUUAGGUAGUUCUGUUGUAUUUAAAACUCUAAUGUCCAUACAAUAGCGUCAGAAUGCUUUUUUUUAAAACUCAGUUAAAAUGCAUGCCAGGCUUGACAGGUUAUGAUUCAAAACAUUAAAUGUAUCCUUCAAAUUAAUUUCUGUGAUAUUACUUUGAAAUGCUUUAAAACUGGCUUUCGACUUUUUAAUUUCAUUACAUAAAUCAAAACAGUCAAUAUUUCUUGGAUACUUACAUUCUCAUUAUAUCCCCUUUCUUCUUCCUUCUUCUUUGGACUAUUUUUUUUAAUUCAGAAAAAAAAAAAUCUUAUCUUUAUACCUUAACAUCAGAUGGUAAACCAUUUUAUUUAAUAUUCAGCCUGGUUAGAGAUUUGAAUGGCUAUAAUAGUUGGGGAGAGGUGGUAAUAGUAGAGACUGGAAGAUGCCUUUUUUCAGUUUAAUAUCAAGGUCAUGUUGUUAUUAUCAAACUUGGUUGCAUAAGGCAAUUUUUUAUGUUCAUAAACUCUAUUUUGAUAAAUCGAUCCACUCAUUCAACAUUUAUAGAAACAAAACUAUUACAACCAAAUAGGUGGAUCCUGCUCUCAGAGAACUCAUUGUCUAGCUACAUUUUGGGAUAGUGUGUCCUGAACCCCAUUAGGGUGUAGCAUAAGCUUGACAAAGGUAAUCUAACCAGCCUUAUUUUUCUAUUCUCGGUCAAUAUUCUGUCUCUAUACACAGACUAAAGAUAAGUAUGGAAUGAGAGUUCCUACAUAUAGGUUAUAUGGUAAAAUUUGUGGAAUAUGCAAAGAGAUAAAUGAGAUGUAUUUGCUUUACAGCAUUCACCAGGGCUUAGAAGACCCUGUGGCACCUGAAAGUGAAUGUGCAAUUGGAUUGGAGUUAUGCUGCAACAAUUAGCUGCUCAAUUGUGUGUUUAUUACAUAUACCAAGAUCACUUAAAUAACACUACAGGUCUUCCUCAAUGGUGAUUUUUAUUCUGAUGGAGAAGACAUGCCUGAAGUGUAUUGAGCAGAAGAGUGACAAGAUCUGACUAACCUGGUAAGAUUACUCUGGCUGUUGUUUUGAGAAUACUUGGAGCGGAGAUAAGUAGUGAAGCUGAUAUAUCAACUUAUAAGCUUUUUACUAAUCCAGGUAAGAGAUGAAGGUAGCUUGAUCUGCAGUGGUGGCAGUACAGAUGAGAAGAAGUGGUUAAAUUUUGUAUAUAACUUGAAGACAAAGUGGGCAAGAUGAUCUGAGUGAUUGGACUGGGAGUGUGAGAGGCAGAAAGGGGUCAAUGAUGACUCCAAGGUUUUAUAUGAACAAUUGGAAAAAUAUUACGUUCUUUUUGUCUUUUUCUCCUUUUCCUUUUUCUUUCUUAUAGUUUGAGGCUUAUCGUUUGACAACAACAAAUGAUCAGUUUAUCUUCUAGAAAGUAGAUUGUCAACAAUUUAUAAAUGAAGAGUCUGCUAGUCAGUGAUAAGCAAAGGACUCUGUGUGGGAACUGGAGGGAAGAAAGACCCUCAAUCAUGUUCUAAGGCCAGUAUUUAAGAAAUAUUCAUAAAUAUGUUUUAAAAAAUUUUCCAGGAGUCAAAUGAUACAAUGUUAAUGGAAGGAAUUCAUUCUUUGUCUGCUCAAAAAUCCAUUUGACAAUACUUCUGUCUAUAUUCAGGCUCCAGUUUUUGUAGGUUAAAUUGUAACAACAUUUGUUGGCAUACUCAUUCUCCAAACACCAUUCUUAGUACUCUAUUGGGUGUAGUAGAUCGCCCAGGGUCUCCAGCUUGCAGGCAGACCACUGUGGGACUUCUUAGCCUCCAGAACUGGUAUAAGCCAGUUUCCCUAAUUCAUCUUCUCUCAAAUAUCUAUCCAUCUCUCUGUAUAUAUCCUACUGUUUCUAUCUUUCUGAAGAACCCUAAUGCUUGUUCCUUGUGUAUUAAUAUGUAUUAGUAUGUAUUAUUACUCAUACAUGCUCCAGGUUUAGUAUGUUUUUUUAUUUAAAAAAAUUCAUAAGAUUGAAGGCUGCAUUAUUGAUUUGCCAUCUUUCUUCUUUUUAAAAAUAGGCCUGUAAAAUCUCCUUCUGAGCACUGCUUCAGCUGCAUUCUAUAAAUUUUUGUAUAAUUUGUUUUCAUUUUCAUUUAUAAUUUCAUUGAAAACAAAAACAAAACACAUCAUAUAGUAUAACCAUUCCAACUCUCUUUUGGGCAUUUUAUGAAUGGUACAUCUUUUUUAAUCCUUACUUAUUUGUGUCUUUGAAAGUAAAUUUUGUUUCAUUUAUCCAACAUCUAGUUGGAUCAUAUGUUUUUUAAACUAAUCUUCCAAUCUCUG
rnacentral:lncRNA from 1 species